GUGUUCGUGUGUUCACGCACGCUUUUCUAUAAGUGUGCUUUUUGAAGGUGGCCAUGGAAGUCGUAAAGCACUAAGGAGUGUGUAGCAACUCAUUUGCCGAAGCAACUAGCCCCGAAAAUAGAUAGCGCUCUAGUGUUUCCAC
rnacentral:rRNA from 1 species